AAUUGCUGAAUUGCUGAUGACUGCCGGCUGCUCGAUGUAUUUUAAGACAACUACUUAGGCAUUGUUUAUUUGAUUUUGUCUCGGAUAAGUGAGAGUUCUGUGGUUUCUUUUAUAGUGGAUGAUAAGAAAAUACUCAUGUAGGCAUCUGAUAAUUACUGAGGGCUUGAUAAAUAAGAUGAAUUUUAUUAAAAACAUCGGACAGUCAACAAACUCUAACGAAAGCUAUACUAUGACAAAAACUGAAGAUUUAAUAUCAUCGUGGAAGAAUUGUUGUUAAGAAUAAAAAUGAUAAGGCACAAUAAGGAUAUCAUCAUAUUAAGCCAUUUCAGUCAAGCAGAGUUUUUAAUACGGUCAUUCUUUUUAAUCAACAAUUCGAGAUGCAUUGAGCCGUGGUCCUAUUGAUGCCACAUUAUUUCAUACAAAUAAGUCUACAGUUAGUGUUAAGCGUAGCUAACAAAUAUAAAUUUCUAUUGAAGGGCAGUUGCAAUUGUGAUAGUUCGCAAAUUUCAAUGUUACAAAAUAGUAUAUCUUGAGCGAUAGGGUAGAGUUAUCGUGUGAUUAGUCGAAUUAGGUUUUUCGGUGUAAAAAAUGUUUUAACAUUUUUGAACAAGAAACAUGAAACAAUUUAUUAGAUAUAACUUAGUCGGCUUUAAUCAUUGUAUUUCAAGGAAAUGUAAUUUUCAUGAUCGUUUCUAAAUUGCCAUAAGUUAUAGGUUUUCCUGGUAAAAACCUUAUCAAUACAUAAACGUAUAAUUUUUUUGGUGUGUUCAACUUUAUAGCUAUUGUAUGCCUUAAAAAAUGCAACGCAUUUUAGUUCUUCAAUUAAAAAUACAAUUGUGUCAUCAUUUUUACUAUAUGUUUUGUUUCGCCAUAAAAUAAUUUGUUACACAUCUCAUAUUUAAGUAUCAACCCUGGGCGAAAAGUGGUACUAUUAAUUUUCAUGUGAUUUAUCAAUGUUAUUGUUUCUGGAAAAUCAAAAAGUAGCAAAGAAUAUUCACAGUGUUGCUUAAGAAUUGAAGUUGAAGAUAGUAUUGUUACAUUAUUCAGAUCGUAAGUAUGAUUGAUGAAUGCAUAAAUUUGUUUGAGAUUAAAACGUUUUGUUAGGCUUAAUGAUAAGUUGCGGAAAUUAUUACAUGUCUUUGUCUGACGUUUGGUCUCUUUAAACUUCGCUUCGAAAAGCAUGCACGAAAAGUUAGCCACAGGUCCCUCUUCUUUAAUUAUCGAAGGGUAAUGUACAAGAUGGUGCAUUUAAUUGAUGAAAUUUACUGUGGGAAAGCAAACGCGAAACAGUUUGUGAAAACUUUGAAUUUCUUGCUUCAAGUCACCAAUUUGUGCUACAUAUAGCUUAUUAGAAAACGCAAAAAAAGUUAUUCUUAACGAUGAUCCGAUUAAAUCAACAUAGUUGGUAUUACUAACGAUAUUCGCGUGAAACAUGAAAGGAAAUGCUCUCAAAAGUGUCCAAGUCUGAGCAGCAGAUUGUGGAAUCGAAUAACCUGGUGGCUUAAUAUUUUUCAACGAAAAGCUCGGCGAUGGUUUAUCUCGUGAUUCAACAAAUCCAUAGUUGAAGUCCAUGAUGAUCUUAUUAAUUUCAUCUAUCGUAAUACUUUUUUCGCAAUUCACGAUAUCAUUGAAAAUUAACUUAAUAAGCAUUGGUGCAAUGCCCUCGAGAAUGUCAUGCAUGGGAUCCAUUGUGUUAUUAGUAGCGAUAUGAAAAAAAUCAGCUUAUGUAGUGCACAAUCUCCCACAAUACCUAAAUCUUACGGUAGUUUUAAUUUGUUUUGAAUUGCUUGAAUGUCCGAUUGUAAACUUUGUCCUGUUCUUAAAGGAAAUGAUUCUUGAGAAUGUUCCUGUUUUAAAGCAUUUCGCGGCAUGUAACACAUACGGCAAAACAUUUUAGCAUGGGGUCCCAUCAAACGAAAUAUAUCGUGAAUAGCCAGUGUAUCUCCGAUUACAUGAACCAAUACUGCUCGUAAAACGAAGUCCUUCCCAUUGUCUAUUUUGAUUUUCACGCCAAUUUCUGAUUCCAACAAAAGAAGAUCCUGCAUCAAAGGACGAAGCACUCGUUCGUAUCCAUAUAUCUUCAAAUCAGCAGCACUAACUGUGAGUGUUAAAUAAAUCCGGUUUAACUCAGAGUUCACGAUGGAGUCAAAAUUCUCAAUUUUAAAACAAAAUAUAGUCAUUUUUUUCAUUCCUUUACGGAAGCCCAACGGGUUUCGGUGCUCCACAUCGUCAAGAUGCAAUGAAAGUCUCAGUGCUUCGGGGUAGUUUUGAAGAAACGGAUGAUGUUGAAAUCUAGAACCAUCCUUGAACCCGCACAGAAUACUUUUUUCGGUUUUUUCUUCCUCAAUCAUUGCUCUAUGGUUCUGCAUGAUUAGUGCUAGCGUAUCUUUUAUAGAAAUAUAAUGAGCGACAUGCUUCACUACCUUCGUCUUUUAACUUACUCGUGCAGGGUGGCGACUAGCUUUUGAUAAACUGCGUGCGAUACUCGUAACUUUCCUUCUACCUAAAACCUCUUCUUUUGAAUCGGGUAAAGCAUAACCCGGCAGUCCAGAUAAAUACGCCAAACUGUCUACUGGUCUUCUAACCUCGCCAAAUACAUUUACCAACGACAUCUUGUUGAUUGUUUCUUGAGCAUGAAUAUCAUCAUAACUGAUGCUUUUAACUUCUAGAAAUGAUUUGAAUAAACCCAUGAAGUACAUCUCAUACCCGUUCAGUAAAGUAUGUGCAGUCGUGAUGAACUGUUGGAUCUUUGACUCCGGUAUUGAAACAUCACAACGCAUUUUCGUGAUAAACUCAUUGAUCAUUUCAAUUAUUUGUUCAGUAGAAACUGUCGUUUUGAAAAACAUGUUUGUAAUGUUCGAAUAGUCUGGGUUCGGAUCAGUCUCGUCUGGAAUUGUUGAUUUUGAGUCGUAAUGUUCGGAAUUUGAUAAUGCGUCUGUACGGUCGUCAAGCUGUGGUCCGUGAGAUUUUUUUAUAUGGCAUUUCAAAUCUUUAAAUCGUGAAUAUAAAAUGUUACAUUCAGAGCACCUGGAUGGUAAUUCAUUAAUUUUGCUGGUGUUUAAAUUGUGAACAUUUACGAAAUGCGAUUUUAGUUCAUCAAUAUAACCGGGCACAAGCACUCCGCACGAAGGGAGAUGACAACGAAAUCCUUAAAACAAAAUCGGAAUAUAAAAAGUGCGCUUAGUCGUCUGACUUUCAGUAACGCAAACGGUAAUGCAUAGUGAAUGUAUGCAAGGUGUAUGUGUGUAUGAUGUGUGUAUGCAUGGUGCAUGUGUUUAUGAUGUAUGUGUGCAUGAAGUAUGUGUGAGAGAUGUAUGUGUGAAGAUUUAUAAUUUAAAAUAUAUUUUGAACGUGGCCACGACAGGUCAACUAUUUUUAAAUAAAGUUUUGACUUGGCAUUUCAUAUUCUUACCUUUUAAUUUUUGGAAUGAUUCCGCAUCGAGUAAGGCUUCAACCUGUUCCAUUCUUUAGCCUUCGAAAACAAUACUUGCAACUGAGGAAACUUCUACAAAAUAACAAUGCAGUUUAUAAAACUCUCACUGGAAAGUAACACUUUUUAUACAAACAAUACCGCCGUUGAAAAUUUUUGACAUAUAUAUACACUCAGGGGUGAGUAAACAUCAUGGAUAAAAACUCAAAAUUGAGUAAACAUGGCAAUUAUGAAAAUUUGAGUAAAUGUUUCUCAAUUAUCCAGCACCCGGUUACUCACUUUUUGACAUUUUGCAUAAGAAUACCAAAUUGAGUAGAUCCUAAUCAAAUUAGAGUUAAAAUAAAGCAGCGUGCUGAUCGUUUGUGGUAAGGCAAUGUAAUGUAUGUACGGUGCGGCCGAAUGUGGAUAUGUAUGAAUGUGCGUCAUCGGAGCGAAAUGUUGUGUAUUCGGAGUCUUGCAUAAUACUGGGGUUUCAGAUUUUAACCUCCAGGGUGAUAAAAUUGUAUUCCUUAGGGAAUAUUUUUAUUAUUUACCGCAUUAUGCGAGAGACAUUCUUUGGUCCCUCUCAAACGUCUCAGUAUGGGAGAUGCUUUUGAGAUGAACAGGGACAGAAAGACAUGGUCCAGAAUGUUGACGAUGACGUGGGCUGGGUGCCAGACGGAGUGCGUGAAUGUAUGAUUGGAUAUGCAUGAGUGAACGAAUAAAAGUUGGUGUGGUUGAAUGAGAAGCAAUGUUCUCUAGAACUUAAUUCAAGAUGUGAGUCGAAUUGCAAAUGGCGAUUGGAAUGAGAGGAUAUGUUUGAAAGAGAAAAUAGAAUGAGUGGUUCGUAAAUUAACUCUAGCUCUAACCGUACAAAACUAGUACUGGGACUUGCAGUAUUUUGGGAGGAUGAGUUGUCUUGAAGAUUGGGUCAGAUGAUAGCUGACUGCUUCUCGCUUUGCGAAUGCUUUCAGAAUUAGCACUUCACAUCAAGACCAAACAAUUUCAACGAUUCGGAACUCCGAUCGAUUAGUUUGGAAUUGGUUAUUUAUAAAUUACGGAAGGAAUGAUAGGGAUAGCAGAUUUUGUACAUAUUUAUUUAUUUGUUUGUUUAUAUAUUUAUUUAUUAAUUUAUUUAUUUAUUUGUUCAUUAACUUAUUCAUUCCCCGUUUAUUAUUGUUAUCGGUGUUAGGUGGUGGUUAGUAAAAAAAAAUUGUUUUUCCACUCGGUGUGGGCGAGAUUGUAACCGGUGCGGUUGCAAUUUCAGCAUCGAGUGGAAAUUUACCUAAUUUUGGUACUACCGCGGGAGAGUGUAUGAGUAGAAAUUACCCUCAUUUAGACACUCCCGCAAGAGCGUGUACCCAACAUGACAACUGUCACCACUUGUGCUGAAUAUCGUUCACAUAAGUUUGUUUAUUUUCGUUUAAAUUCGUUCAUUUUUUCGUAUGUGAACGAUAUUGUCGCGUUAGUUAGGUUCGAUAAUUUUUUUGUCAUGUUUGUGGAAUAAUUGUUAGGAAUAGAUAGGCCGGUGUUUUCCUCCAGCUGCGAAAAAGUGGUGCUGAAUCCAGUCUCGGCGGGUAUGUUGUGGUCGGCAGCCAUCGCGGGAUGAUCAGUUUAGCCUCGAUAUCGUCUGUGUCCUGUGUGUCUCGCGAAGGUUGUUCCGCGGAUACGUGUAAGACCAGCGAAGGUUGAUACAGGUGUUCGCUCGCCGGAUAGGGUAAGCUGCGCUAUUGGCUACCCCCGGCUAAGUGCCAAGGAGCAGGAAAACACCGCCCCGCCGAGGACCAUUGCAGCAGAAACGAUUCGUGCUGCAGGAGCAGCAGAAAGCAGCCCCGGACGGCCACCAUCGGCGACCCUCACCGCAACUGACAGCUAGAGGAACCAGAAUAAACGGAUGAGUUUUUGUUUA